GCAGCCUUCAGGUGAAGAUGUAGAACACUCAGCUCCUCCUGCACCAUGCCUGCCUGGAUCCUGCCAUGUUCCUGCUUUGAUGAUAAUGGACUGAACCUCUGAAUCUUGCCUCAGUCCCAGCGUCUCUUCUCUGCAGUAGAACAGUGACUACAGUCCCAAGACCCUCCCACUGAGCUAUGGCUCCACCAGCUUUCCUCAAAGACCCAGGAAAAGAGAAGAGUGGAAGAAAGACUUAAGAUCUCCACCACAUCGAAGCAAAACCAGUAUAUUCGGAGUAUAACACUUAUGAGAGUUAAAAUGUGUGCUUGGGCUCCCACAGCCCCAGCCCUUCACAGGUGGGAGCAGGUAUGAGUUGGCUGCAUUCAGGUAAGCGAACGGCAGUGAAGAAAUCAGACUAUCUCUACGCAGGCUGAGUCUAGUCCCAGGCUCCUCCUUCUGCCCCUUUCUAUCACCAGCUCUUCAGAAAAAACAGGAUUCCUUCCUGACGGAGGGAUGGAGUGGAGUCCAGUUCUGUUGGCUCAGGUGUGACCUCACAAUCUUGGCUGACUUCAGAGUGAAGAUGAGAGUCACACCCACCUCUCCCAGAGGAGAGUCUCCAAUGAGAGUCACACCCACCUCUCCCAGGUGAGAGUCUCCAACAGGUCCUUUGGUCUCAGGAUUCACAAUAACUACUUUCACUCCAGGUAAGAUCUGAGAAUCAAAGAGGAAAUACAAAUACUCAGUUUAACCAAACUGCAUAACUUUGGCUGUGGCUUAGUUUACUGGUC
rnacentral:lncRNA from 1 species